rnacentral:rRNA from 1 species
UCUUCCUACGGGGGGCAGCAGUGGGGAAUAUUGCACAAUGGGCGAAAGCCUGAUGCAGCAACGCCGCGUGAGCGAUGAAGGCCUUCGGGUCGUAAAGCUCUGUCCUCAAGGAAGAUAAUGACGGUACUUGAGGAGGAAGCCCCGGCUAACUACGUGCCAGCAGCCGCGGUAAUACGUAGGGGGCUAGCGUUAUCCGGAAUUACUGGUCGUAAAGGGUGCGUGGGGGGUUUCUUAAGUCAGAGGUGAAAGGUUACGGCUCAACCGUAGAAAGCCUUUGAAACUGGGGCACUUGAGUGCAGGAGAGG